UGCAGCUGCAGGGAGCUCUGACCAACAGGAGCGCUCCUGCUCCCACAUCCCGACGUUCUCAGCCCGACAUCCCAUGAUCCCCAGACUGUAUGUGAUGUCAUGGAAACAGGACAUGAAGAACCAGAGGCUCCUGAUGAAGAACGCAGCUCUGGCAGGGAUCCCUGUGGUUCCUCUUGAGGAGUCUUUGUGUUUCUGUGGACGGGAGCGUCUCUGCCACAGUCAGAACGCCAACCACUGCUGCUCCUCCUCCUCCUCCUCCUC